rnacentral:rRNA from 1 species
UGGGGCGGUCUCCUCCCAAAGCGUAACGGAGGAGCACGAAGGUUAGCUAAUCCUGGUCGGACAUCAGGAGGUUAGUGCAAUGGCAUAAGCUAGCUUGACUGCGAGCGUGACGGCGCGAGCAGGUGCGAAAGCAGGUCAUAGUGAUCCGGUGGUUCUGAAUGGAAGGGCCAUCGCUCAACGGAUAAAAGGUACUCCGGGGAUAACAGGCUGAUACCGCCCAAGAGUUCAUAUCGACGGCGGUGUUUGGCACCUCGAUGUCGGCUCAUCACAUCCUGGGGCUGAAGUAGGUCCCAAGGGUAUGGCUGUUCGCCAUUUAAAGUGGUACGCGAGCUGGGUUUAGAACGUCGUGAGACAGUUCGGUCCCUAUCUGCCGUGGGCGCUGGAGAAUUGAGGGGGGCUGCUCCUAGUACGAGAGGACCGGAGUGGACGCAUCACUGGUGUUCGGGUUGUCAUGCCAAUGGCACUGCCCGGUAGCUAAAUGCGGAAGAGAUAAGUGCUGAAAGCAUCUAAGCACGAAACUUGCCCCGAGAUGAGUUCUCCCUGAGACUUUAAGUCUCCUGAAGGAACGUUAAAGACGAUGACGUUGAUAGGCCGGGUGUGUAAGCGCAGCGAUGCGUUGAGCUAACCGGUACUAAUGAACCGUGAGGCUUAACCUUACAACGCCGAAG